UACGUAGGGGGCUAGCGUUGCUCGGAAUUACUGGGCGUAAAGGGUGCGUAGGCGGACAGUUUAGUCAGAGGUGAAAGCCCAGGGCUCAACCUUGGAAUUGCCUUUGAUACUGACUGUCUUGAGUACGGGAGAGGUGUGUGGAACUCCGAGUGUGGAGGUGAAAUUCGUAGAUAUUCGGAAGAACACCAGUGGCGAAGGCGACCCACUGGCCCGUUACUGACGCUGAGGCUCUAAAGCGUGGGGAGCAAACAGG
rnacentral:rRNA from 1 species